GACCCAAACCAUGUGGUUUACUAAGAAGAAAUGAUCUUAGAACCAGACUUGAGUUAUGAAGAGAGACCUCAGAUGAUGCUAGAUCAUAAAAUUCGGCAAUUGAGUAAUAAGUCGAUUGCAUUGGAUAAGGUCCAAUGGAGAUAUGAUAGUUAGAAAGAAGUGGAAAGAGAGCUUGAGGAUAAGAUGUGAGAGAAGUACCUGAAACAUUUACAAGAGGUACAAAUUUCGGGACGAAAUUUAUUUUAAGGGGGAGGGUAUGUAAUACCCGGGCUUUUGAUGACGUGUUUAAUUGCUUGAGUUUGAGUAAUUAGGGUUUAGAUCCCUUGUUUGAUUUACUUUGUAAAUAGAUGAGGAGUUAUAUGAAGUUUUCUUGUUAUUUUUUUAAGAUGUUGAGAUGUUCUUUCGAUGAUGUGAGAAUGAUGUGGGAUUUUAUAUCCGUAUUUGAGUUUGAGUAUUUGAAUAAUUCGAGAUAAUUAUUUGAAUGAGAACGAUGAACUCGGAAGUGAGAUCUGAGUCCGUUAAGACGUUUUUGAAAAUUUUGACUUUUUGACGAUGAAUAGUAAAAUACUGCUAUUUCGUCUUUUUGUCGACUUUCAAAAUCUUACGUGCACGUCGUCGAGAAAUAUUCUUAGUUUUUCGAUACAAGUCCAAUAAUGAAAGUUUUUAUUUUUGGACGACGAGUGAAUAGUAAAUCGGGAUUUCUCGAUAAACGAACCGAGCUCGUUUAUCAGAAUUUUGAGAACGAGCUUGCGUUUUCUAUAUUUAUAUAGAAUUACGAGUGCAAUGAAAGUGAGUAGAGGUUGAGAGGGCGAGUAACAAAGAGUAUGGGUUGUUAGUUGUUAAAACGAGACGAGACGAGAUAUUUAACGACUAACGGGUUAAUAUCCUAAAUAUCUAACCUACCCUACCCCUAACCACCCCCAAACCUCCCAAAACCCCUUUCCCCUCACUAACUCACGCUAUAUCAGCCCACACCACACACACAACUCACAUAUUCACACACACAACACCUAAAACACACACUACACACGCCAUUUUCCAUUUAAGUUUGGACGGAGCUUUUGACCUCCGAUUUGAGCACCGAGACGAGCGCCGAUCAUCUUUUCGAUCAUGUAUCUAAGUAGGUUGAGCUGAUGUGAUGAUGGUGCUGCAAUGAGCGGAGUCUCCAGGGUUGUUAAUAAAUAGUUAACCUGUCUAGAAUAUGUCUUCAUACAUAUGUCUAGCUACUUUCCGCUGCAAGAUGUUGUUGAUGUUAUAGUAUGUUAUGUCAUACUUUGAGUCUUAAGAGAAUGGUUUCAUAUGAUGUAUAACUUGAUUAAUGAUAUUAAUUAAGUUUUAUGUUGUCUUUCA